GGGGUCAGGGGAGGGGUGCAUUAGAAACAUUCAGCCCUGUGCAUAAACAAGCACCUCAGUUCUACCCCUCCCCACCAGGAAACCGGGGGAAGCUUUCUGGAACUGGAUCGCAGUAAGGACUGCACGGCGCCGUGAGUGUGUGCUGUGCCAGGAGAGGAAUGCUUAGACCCUCAGCAUGUAUUCCAUGUCAUGUGGUUGACCACAGUAAACAGAAUGCUGAGUCCAGCACCUGAGACAGCCAUUGCUCUCAGUUUGCUAGUAUUUGCAUGUAUGAUUGCAUGUGUGCAUUUACACAUAUGUAUUUGCAUGCAUGUUAUUUGCAGGUGUGUAUGAGCUAUUAUUUGCAUGUGUGCAUAAAUAAUAACAAAAUAUGAACACUUAAAAUGGACAGCUCUGACCUGCUGCUUCAUAGGCAAUUGACAAGAAAACCGUGCCAGACCAUUUUCAGGCGGCGGGCAAGAGUGUGCGCACAGGGUUCUGUGGAUCCACAGCUCAGCACGGCCUCGGCGUCGCACCUGGCCACGUGCAGACACAGAGCACUCCGUUCUAACCUGUCACAAGCACACGCGGGGGACACCAGUGUAGAGCUGUGAGGUUGCUUACCUGGCUGGCCUUCACCUUGUCAGGGAGGGGCUGUUAGCACACGGAGCGGGGGUCAGCAGGGUCCCUGCCGCGUUUCCUACCUUCAGUGCUCUGGCCUCGGCCGAGGUCUGUGCACCUGCCCUCGCUCUGCAGUGGCCUAACUGUCGCCGGGCUCAGCGGCUUCCGGCAGCGCCUCUGCACUCUGGCCACGGGGCCUGCGGGGGCUUUAUGCAGCCUCGCUGGUAGAGCCGACAGGGACUGCCGACAGGGACAAUCUGCGCAGCUCUCAAGUCAGCGGCUCGGGCUUGAGCACAAACCCCUAUGGGAUCCCUGAGGGACGAUGACCUGCGGGACUCCAAUUAAACACAGUAGCCUAAGGAUAUUUUUAGUAAGAGUUCUAGAUGAACAAACAAUGCAAUGCACACACCGUUCUGUCAACAGUGCCGGGCGUUUGAUGAGCUCGGCCUGUCGGCGUCGCCUCCUCUGGAAACGCCGCCUGGUUUACCCUGUCCUGUGAGUCCGCUGCCCUCACCAGGGCCGGCCCCACCGAUGGUUCUCACACUGACCCUGCACCUCACAGGGACCCAGAAACCAAACGCCACUCCUGCUGGGUGUCUCCUUCUUUGGAACCUUGGAUCUUGAAGCACUGGGCACCCGAGAUCCUACUCUUAAUUGUGGCUUCCCGCCUUGCCACGAGCAGCGCCCGGGCGUGCCGCCCCGUCAGGCAACGCGCAGUCUCCCACCCGGGUUCCUGCUGGCUCAGCGCGGCCUCCCGUGCAGCCUCACGGCUUCCUCUCAGACCCGCAGCCAGCGCACCUGCCGACUACCUUUUCUGAUACUAACACUCCACAGUGCAUGUGCUUAAUUUUACUUAUUUGGAAAGCAGAGAGAAGCUAUGAUGUCUUCCACCUGCAGGCUCGCUUCCCAAGCACCCACAAUAGCCAGGGCUGGCCAGGCUGAAGCUAAGAGCCAGGGACUCAUCCGGGUUUCCUGCUUGGGUGGCAGGGACCCAUGUAGCUGAGCGGUCACCUGCUGCCCCCAGGGUGCACAGAAGCGGAGGGGGAGCUCCAGCCCAGGCCCCCAGGCUAGGGGUGCAGGCGUCCCAGGCAGCGGCCUCUUUGUCUGCCCCUCUGAUGUUCAUGUCGCAUUUGUACUUCAUUCCGGUUAACUUUCACAUUUGUGUAAGCUUUUUUCCAAUCCAUUCACAUUUUCUGUGUUUUGUGCUAUCUUUGGGAUUCAGCAUAGAAUUUAGCUAACUUCUCAGUUAAGUCUUUCUCAAUAACUAUAUAUAUAGCUAUGAUUACAUUUGUAAUCCUUCUGUUUUAUAUCGCCAAUUUUAUAUUUUAUUUAGUAUUUUUAUAACUUCUAUAUAAUCUGGAUACAUUAAUCCUGUGUCUUUGGAUGCACUGAUGAGGAAAAUGUGAUGUACACGCGUGAUGUGGAAUAAUUAAGCUGAUGAUACAGCGUCAGCACUCUUUUACGAUGAGGUGGUGAUUUGUUGAAGCCCCACCGUCCGCGACCCGUGAGUGCAGGCACCCUGCCCACAGCAGGCCCGGCUCACUCUCGUCUCCCUGAAGGCUUGAGCCUUUUGGUCAUCAGCUCUCCAUCCCCUGUGGUCACCGUUGUCCACUCCCUGGGUGGAAACCUCUCAGCUUUCCUGUGUAAGAGAGACUGUGGGUCUGUCCCGUGCUGGGCUUUUUAGAGUUAGCGUGAUGCCCUGCAGCUUCCUCGUGUUGGCACGAAUGCCAGGACGUCCUUAUUUAUAAGGCUGAAGAGUACAGCAGUGCGUGUGCAUGUGUGCGUGUGUGCGUGUGUGCAUGUGUGUGCAUGUGUGCAUGCGUGUGCGUGCAUGUGUGUGUUUAUUCUUUGUCUGUUAAUGGGCCCCGAGACUGACUCCUCACCCGGCUGCUGAGAACAGUGCUGCAGACCGUGGGAGCGCAGGUGUCUCCUCAGCGGCCCGACCCGCGUCCCCGUGAACGCAUGGGCGCUGGGGGCGUGGCUGGGUCCUGUGCUGGUUCUGCUCCGGCUUUCCGAGGAGCUCCGUGCCAUUCCCCGCAGCAGCUGCACUCUGUACACUCCCCCGGCGAUGUGAAGCGUCUCUUCAGCUGUGAGCACCCAGCCUUUUCAUCGCAGCCUGCUGGGGACACAGGAUGAAGGCCAGGGCCGCUCAGCUGCUUCCUGGACACCUGCUCUGCCCCUCCUGGCUCCUGAGUGGGUGGCGGGGCUGCCUCAUGGCUUCCAGGGCAGCAGCAGCGUGCGGGUGGGGCCGCCCAGCUGUUUCCUGCAGCCCCUGCAGGUGGAGCCCCUCAGGGUGGGUCACCCAGGGGCCUCCCAGGGCCCUAGUCGGGUAGGUGGGGCCAUGGGCUGGUUCACAGGGCUGGGUCAGCAGAGCUGCACCUCUAGCCAGUCAUCCUGUUGACCUGCGAUGACCACUGCUGAUGCUUGUAUGUUGAUUCUGUAUCCUGCAACUUUACUGCCCUUACCGGUUCCAAAUGGUAAACCCUUUUUGAUGGAGUCUUUAGAAUGCUCUGUGUAUACCUUCAUUUUUUGCCUGUUAACAGAGACAGCGUCGCUUCUUGCUUGUCCAUGUGGAUGCGUUACACUUGCUUCUGUUGCCUGACUGCUCUGGCUAGGACGCUGUGUUGACCACAGCAGGUGAGAACCAGGCUGUGGCUUGUUCCUGAUCUGCAGAGGAAGAGCUUCCUGCUCGUCACACGGAGUAGGAGGCUGGUUGAGAGCUGGCCGCUGCGCCCUCUAUCGUGGCUUUUAGGAUUACCCCAUCAGUCCAGCAUUGUGGUGCAGCGGGUUCAGCCACUGCUUGCGACACCAGCAUCCCAUACCAGGUGCUCCACUCCUGAUCCAGCUCCCUGCUAAUGAGCCUGGGAGAAGCAGAAGAUGAUCCAAGCGCUGGAGCCCCUGCACCCACCUAAGAGACCUGGAUGAAGCUCCUGGCUCCUGGUUUCAGGCUGACCCCAGCCCCUGCCACUGCUGCCAUUGGGGGAGUGAACAGAGGAUGGAAGACCUCCCUCUCUGUCUCUCCUUCUCUCUCUGUAACUCUUUCAGAUAAAGAAAUAAAUGUUAAAAAAUACAA